AUUGAACGCUGGCGGCAUGCUUUACACAUGCAAGACGAACGGUAACAGGGAGCUUGCUCCGCUGACGAGUGGCGAACGGGUGAGUAAUAUAUCGGAACGUACCCAAGAGUGGGGGAUAACGUAGCGAAAGUUACGCUAAUACCGCAUACGAUCUAAGGAUGAAAGCAGGGGACCUUCGGGCCUUGUGCUCCUGGAGCGGCCGAUAUCUGAUUAGCUAGUUGGUGAGGUAAAGGCUCACCAAGGCGACGAUCAGUAGCUGGUCUGAGAGGACGACCAGCCACACUGGAACUGAGACACGGUCCAGACUCCUACGGGAGGCAGCAGUGGGGAAUUUUGGACAAUGGGCGCAAGCCUGAUCCAGCAAUGCCGCGUGAGUGAAGAAGGCCUUCGGGUUGUAAAGCUCUUUUGUCAGGGAAGAAACGGGAUUGGCUAAUAUCCAGUCCUAAUGACGGUACCUGAAGAAUAAGCACCGGCUAACUACGUG
rnacentral:rRNA from 1 species